rnacentral:rRNA from 1 species
GAUGAACGCUGACAGAAUGCUUAACACAUGCAAGUCUACUUGAACUUCGGUUUGGGUGGCGGACGGGUGAGUAACGCGUAAAGAACUUGCCUCACAGAUAGGGACAACAUUUGGAAACGAAUGCUAAUACCUGAUAUUAUGAUUUUAGGGCAUCCUAGAAUUAUGAAAGCUAUAUGCACUGUGAGAGAGCUUUGCGUCCCAUUAGCUAGUUGGAGAGGUAACGGCUCACCAAGGCGAUGAUGGGUAGCCGGCCUGAGAGGGUGAUCGGCCACAGGGGGACUGAGACACGGCCCUUACUCCUACGGGAGGCAGCAGUGGGGAAUAUGGGACAAUGGACCAAGAGUCUGAUCCAGCAAUUCUGUGUGCACGAUGAAGUUUUUCGGAAUGUAAAGUGCUUUCAGUUGGGAAGAAAAAAAUGACGGUACCAACAGAAGAAGUGACGGCUAAAUACGUG